CCUUUUGCUAAGGUGAUAGCUACAUGUCCAAGCCUAUUGCGUGGCAUGCAUUUUGCCUUCUGCAGCCCACUAAAGGAAAUUGAAGUAUACAGAAUGCUUAUUUGGUCUACUCAGUAUCAUCCUAAAUGUAUGUACCAAUGCUUAGGAGUUUGCAGUUCACCCGCAAACCUCAGCGAUCCAAGCUCCCCUGGAUGACCAUCACUCACCAAGAAAAGAGCAAUAACAGGACCUGUUUUGCUAAUCCAGGACUGUUCUCCAGCACUAACUCUAAAUAAUCCCUUCUGCUAGAGUCCACUUUCUGGAACCUGUUGCCUCCGUUUUCAACGUUUCCCAAACUUGGUCCGUUGUGUGAGCUGGCUGAUAAAAGUUCCAGGUAACCUUCCUUGUUCUCAAGGUCCAUUUUCCAGGAAAAUCUGAGUCAUGGUGCUGGGGAGGACACUUAAGUACAUCAGUCAAUCAGAUGAUUAUUAAAUUUAGGAAAUAGUAGAUCAACUGGAUUAACUGGAUUAAAAUGCAGAAUCCCAGGCCCCAGCCCAGACCUACUGAACCAGCAUCUGCUCUUUAACAAGAGCCCCAUGUGAUGUGUGGGACAGAAAACUUUGUGAAGCACAGGGCUAGACAGUCUCUAAAGUCUUCUGCAGAUCAGAAACGCAGCAAUUCUGAGGUUUUCUUCAAUUUUCUAAUGUUAUUUCCAGCUCUUUCCCCUCUCUUCUUUCCUUGAUAUGCUGAGGAAAACUUUCUCUGUGAUAAGCAGAGUAGGUGUCUUGUUCUGUGAAUUUC
rnacentral:lncRNA from 10 species